UCCUCGAUAGUAUAGUGGUGAGUAUCCCCGCCUGUCACGCGAGAGACCGGGGUUCGAUUCCCCGUCGGGGAG
rnacentral:tRNA from 1 species